AAGUGUUGGAGGGUUUCCGCCCUUUCAGUGCUGCAGCUAACGCAUUAAGCACUCCGCCUGGGGAGUACGGUCGCAAGACUGAAACUCAAAGGAAUUGACGGGGGCCCGCACAAGCGGUGGAGUAUGUGGUUUAAUUCGAAGCAACGCGAAGAACCUUACCAGGUCUUGACAUCUCCUGACCGCCCUGGAGACAGGGUCUUCCCUUCGGGGACAGGAUGACAGGUGGUGCAUGGUUGUCGUCAGCUCGUGUCGUGAGAUGUUGGGUUAAGUCCCGCAACGAGCGCAACCCUUGGUUCUAGUUGCCAGCAUUCAGUUGGGCACUCUAGAGCGACUGCCGGCGACAAGUCGGAGGAAGGUGGGGAUGACGUCAAAUCAUCAUGCCCCUUAUGACCUGGGCUACACACGUGCUACAAUGGAUGGUACAAAGGGCAGCGAAGCGGCGACGCAUGAGCGAAUCCCAGAAAACCAUUCUCAGUUCGGAUUGCAGGCUGCAACUCGCCUGCAUGAAGCCGGAAUCGCUAGUAAUCGCGGAUCAGCAUGCCGCGGUGAAUACGUUCCCGGGCCUUGUACACACCGCCCGUCACACCACGAGAGUUUGUAACACCCGAAGUCGGUGAGGUAACCGCAAGGAGCCAGCCGCCGAAGGUGGGACAGAUGAUUGGGGUGAAGGCGUAACAAGGUAGAGCUCUCAGUCAGUCAA
rnacentral:rRNA from 1 species